rnacentral:rRNA from 1 species
CUUUAAUGGAGAGUUUGAUCCUGGCUCAGGACGAACGCUGGCGGCGUGCCUAAUACAUGCAAGUCGAGCGGGUUUUACCUUCGGGUAAAGCUAGCGGCGGACGGGUGAGUAACACGUAGGCAACCUGCCUGUAAGACUGGGAUAACUACCGGAAACGGUAGCUAAGACCGGAUAAGUGGUCUUCUCGCAUGAGGAGAUCAAGAAACGCGGGGCAACCUGUGGCUUACAGAUGGGCCUGCGGCGCAUUAGCUAGUUGGUGGGG